rnacentral:misc_RNA from 1 species
GAGGAGCCAAAUCAUUAUAUUUAGGUGGCAAUUGUCCAGGAAAAGUAUGUAGCCCCAUAGGUCGAUGAUGAUCCAAUAUUUCCAGCUGGCUAGACCCCAAAAGAUGUUCAUUAAAAAUCUCUGGCCUUGUUCCUUUAACCCCAGGACUAAGAGUGGAGUACUCUUUACCAGGAGCCAGCUCACCGCUUGAAUAUGUAAUUGUGAUGCGAGGAUCAUUAAAAAGCCGCCCCUGCAAGCCUUCUUUAGCACGCCGAGCUUCAUCUACACUUCUGAACUGUACAAAGGAAUAGUGCCUUGAUGGAAAGCUCUUAAUUCUCUCAAUCUCGCCAAAAAGAAUCAUCGCAUUGUGGAGCAUUUGUUCAUCAAUCUGCACAGAUGGAGGAUAGCCUACCCACAGUACAUUAGUGGGCAGGCCUUCCCUUUGGCCCCCUGAAAGCUGAGAAUGCUGAGCUUGUUUUACUCCAGAAUGUGCAACUGAAAACUGACUCUCUUUUGAAUCACGAAAUUCAUAAAAAUGUUCUCUUCUUAAGGAUUGUAAACGAAGGAAUUCCACACGUAUCUGGUCACCACCAAUUCGCUUUCCAUUCAU